rnacentral:tRNA from 1 species
GCCGUCCGUACUCGGAAACGGCUCCUAUGACCGUCUCUGACCGACCUCUCCACAGCUUGUAAACAGAAGGUCGUCGGUUCGAAUCCGACAGGCGGCU